rfam:Hordeum vulgare subsp. vulgare, WGS project CAJW01000000 data, contig: morex_contig_810002
GCCUUGAUGGUGAAAUGGUAGACACGCGAGACUCAAAAUCUCGUGCUGGAGAGCGUGGAGGUUCGAGUCCUCUUCAAGGCA